GAUGAACGCUGGCGGCGUGCCUAAUACAUGCAAGUCGAGCGAACGGACGAGAAGCUUGCUUCUCUGAUGUUAGCGGCGGACGGGUGAGUAACACGUGGAUAACCUACCUAUAAGACUGGGAUAACUUCGGGAAACCGGAGCUAAUACCGGAUAAUAUUUUGAUCUGCAUGGUUCAAAAGUAAAAGACGGUCUUGCUGUCACUUAUAGAUGGAUCCGCGCUGCAUUAGCUAGUUGGUAAGGUAACGGCUUACCAAGGCAACGAUGCAUAGCCGACCUGAGAGGGUGAUCGGCCACACUGGAACUGAGACACGGUCCAGACUCCUACGGGAGGCAGCAGUAGGGAAUCUUCCGCAAUGGGCGAAAGCCUGACGGAGCAACGCCGCGUGAGUGAUGAAGGUCUUCGGAUCGUAAAACUCUGUUAUUAGGGAAGAACAUAUGUGUAAGUAACUGUGCACAUCUUGACGGUACCUAAUCAGAAAGCCACGGCUAACUACGUGCCAGCAGCCGCGGUAAUACGUAGGUGGCAAGCGUUAUCCGGAAUUAUUGGGCGUAAAGCGCGCGUAGGCGGUUUUUUAAGUCUGAUGUGAAAGCCCACGGCUCAACCGUGGAGGGUCAUUGGAAACUGGAAAACUUGAGUGCAGAAGAGGAAAGUGGAAUUCCAUGUGUAGCGGUGAAAUGCGCAGAGAUAUGGAGGAACACCAGUGGCGAAGGCGACUUUCUGGUCUGUAACUGACGCUGAUGUGCGAAAGCGUGGGGAUCAAACAGGAUUAGAUACCCUGGUAGUCCACGCCGUAAACGAUGAGUGCUAAGUGUUAGGGGGUUUCCGCCCCUUAGUGCUGCAGCUAACGCAUUAAGCACUCCGCCUGGGGAGUACGACCGCAAGGUUGAAACUCAAAGGAAUUGACGGGGACCCGCACAAGCGGUGGAGCAUGUGGUUUAAUUCGAAGCAACGCGAAGAACCUUACCAAAUCUUGACAUCCUUUGACAACUCUAGAGAUAGAGCCUUCCCCUUCGGGGGACAAAGUGACAGGUGGUGCAUGGUUGUUGUCAGCUCGUGUCGUGAGAUGUUGGGUUAAGUCCCGCAACGAGCGCAACCCUUAAGCUUAGUUGCCAUCAUUAAGUUGGGCACUCUAAGUUGACUGCCGGUGACAAACCGGAGGAAGGUGGGGAUGACGUCAAAUCAUCAUGCCCCUUAUGAUUUGGGCUACACACGUGCUACAAUGGACAAUACAAAGGGCAGCGAAACCGCGAGGUCAAGCAAAUCCCAUAAAGUUGUUCUCAGUUCGGAUUGUAGUCUGCAACUCGACUACAUGAAGCUGGAAUCGCUAGUAAUCGUAGAUCAGCAUGCUACGGUGAAUACGUUCCCGGGUCU
rnacentral:rRNA from 1 species